rnacentral:rRNA from 1 species
UAAUACGGAGGGUGCAAGCGUUAAUCGGAAUUACUGGGCGUAAAGCGCAUGCAGGCGGUUUGUUAAGCGAGAUGUGAAAGCCCCGGGCUCAACCUGGGAACUGCAUUUCGAACUGGCAAACUAGAGUUCUUGAGAGGGUGGUAGAAUUUCAGGUGUAGCGGUGAAAUGCGUAGAGAUCUGAAGGAAUACCAGUGGCGAAGGCGGCCACCUGGCAAGUAACUGGCGCUCAGAUGCGAAAGCGUGGGUAGCAAACGGGAUUAGAUACCCCGGUAGUCCACGCCGUAAACGAUGUCUACUCGGAGUUUGGUUCCUUGAGAACUGGGCUCUUAAGCUAACGCAUUAAGUAGACCGCCUGGGGAGUACGGCCGCAAGGUUA